rnacentral:tRNA from 1 species
GGACCGGUCGCCUAGACUCUAACUGCAUAAGAGUCGGCUAGACAGGAUUACACAAAACUGAAAGGGCGCAGGCCUCCUAAGCCUGAUUCCGCGCGUUCGAAUCGCGCCCGGUCCGCCA